UUACAUGUGAAAAUGAGUACCCGCUGCGCCCGAGAGAGAGCAGGUUGAUUUUACGAUCCUUAUAUAGUUUCUGCGCGUUUUGUUCAUUUUAUAUGUAC